GGUUUGAUUAUGGCUCGUGAUUUUGAACGCUGGCGGGAUGCUUUACACACGUAAGUCGAACGGCAGCACGGACUUCGGUCUGGUGGCGAGUGGCGAACGGGUGAGUAAUGUAUCGGAACGUGCCUAGUAGCGGGGAUAACUACGCGAAAGGUAGCUGAAUACCGCGAAGCUACCUUCGGGGAAAGCGGGGACCUCCGGGCCUCGCACUAUUAGAGCGGCCGAUAUCGGAUUAGUUAGGUUGGUGUAGCAGUUCCGGUCACUGGAAGGCGACGAUCCGUAGCUGGUUUGAGAGGACGUGACCAGCCACACUGGGACUGAGACACGGCCCAGACUCCCACGUGGAGGCAGCAGUGUGGGGAAUUUGACAAUGGGGAAACCCCGAUCCAGCCAUCCGCGUGUGCGAUGAAGGCCUUCGGGUUGUGGAAAGACUUUUUGGUAGUAGCAAAACGGCACGAUACACCGUGCAACUGACGGUACCUGCAGAAUAAGCACCGGCUAACUACGUGCCAGCAGCCAGCGCGGUAAUACGCAGGGCGUUGUUGGGAAUCGGAAUUACUGGGCGUAAAAGCGCGCAGGCGGUUCGGAAAGAAAGAUGUGAAAUCCCAGAGCUUAACUUUGAAUCCGUACUAAACCAAUGAGCUAGAGUGUGUCAGAGGGAGGUGGAAUUCCGCGUGUAGCAGUGAAAUGCGUAGAUAUGCGGAGGAACACCGAUGGCGGCUGCAGCCUCCUGGGAUAACACGACGCUCAUGCACGAAAGCGUGGGAGCAAACAGGAUUAGAUACCCUGGUAGUCCACGCCCUAAACGAUGUCAACUAGCUGUUGGGGCCUGGCCUAUAGCGCACACGCGUGAAGUUGACCGCCUGUGAGUACGGUCGCAAGAUUAAAACUCAAAGGAAUUGGACGGGGACUCGCACAAGGGUGGAUGAUGUAGAUUAAUUCGAUGCAACGCGAAAAACCUUACCUACCCUUGACAUGUCUGGAAUCCCGAAGAGAUUUGGGAGUGCUCGCAAGAGAACCGGAACACAGGUGCUGCAUGGCUGUCGUCAGCUCGUGUCGUGAGAUGUUGGGUUAAGUCCGCAACGAGCGCAACCCUUGUCAUUAGUUGCUACGAAAGGGCACUCUAAUGACUGCCGGUGACAAACCGGAGGAAGGUGGGGAUGACGUCAAGUCCUCAUGGCCCUUAUGGUAGGGCUUCACACGUCAUACAAUGGCUGGGACAGAGGGUCGCCAACCCGCGAGGGGGAGCCAAUCCCAGAAACCCGAUCGUAGUCCGGAUCGCAGUCUGCAACUCGACUGCGUGAAGUCGGAAUCGCCAGUAAUCGCGGAUCAGCAUGUCGCGGUGAAUACAGUUCCCGGCUCCUAUACACACUGCCCGUCACACCAUGGAGUGGGCUCUACCAGAAGUAGUUAGCCUAACCGUAAGGAGGGCGAUUACCACGGUAGGAUUCAUGAUCGGGGUGAAGUCGUAACAAGGUAA
rnacentral:rRNA from 1 species